ACGAACGCUGGCGGCGUGCUUAACACAUGCAAGUCGCACGGGCCUUGUCCCCUUUUUUUGGGGGUGGGGUUAGUGGCGAACGGGUGAGUAACACGUGAGUAACCUGCCCCUCACUUCUGGAUAACCGCUUGAAAGGGUGGCUAAUACGGGGUGUUCUGGCCUGCUCGCAUGGGUGGGUUUGGAAAGAUUCGACCGGUUUUGGUUGUGUUGGUGGGGGAUGGGCUCGCGGCCUAUCAGCUUGUUGGUGGGGUGAUGGCCUGCCAAGGCUUUGACGGGUAGCCGGCCUGAGAGGGUGGGCGGUCACACUGGGACUGAGACACGGCCCAGACUCCUACGGGAGGCAGCAGUGGGGAAUAUUGCACAAUGGGCGCAAGCCUGAUGCAGCGACGCCGCGUGAGGGAUGGAGGCCUUCGGGUUGGGAACCUCUUUCGCCAGUGAAGAAGGUCCUGCUCUUUGUGGUGGGGUUGACGGUAGCUGGGUUAAUGAAGCGCCGGCUAACUACGUG
rnacentral:rRNA from 1 species